UCGGGAAUUUUGGGCAAUGGGCGAAAGCCUGACCCAGCAACGCCGCGUGAAGGAUGAAGUAUUUCGGUAUGUAAACUUCGUAAGAAUAGGAAGAAUAAAUGACGGUACUAUUUAUAAGGUCCGGCUAACUACGUGCCAGCAGCCGCGGUAAUACGUAGGGACCAAGCGUUGUUCGGAUUUACUGGGCGUAAAGGGCGCGUAGGCGGCAUGACAAGUCACUUGUGAAAUCUCUGGGCUUAACCCAGAACGGCCAAGUGAUACUGUCGCGCUAGAGUGCAGAAGGGGCAAUCGGAAUUCUUGGUGUAGCGGUGAAAUGCGUAGAUAUCAAGAGGAACACCUGAGGUGAAGACGGGUUGCUGGGCUGACACUGACGCUGAGGCGCGAAAGCCAGGGGAGCAAACGGGAUUAGAUACCCCUGUAGUCCCUGAGCGGGCUGGCAAGGCGCAU
rnacentral:rRNA from 1 species